CCUACGGGUGGCUGCAGUGGGGAAUAUUGGACAAUGGGCGAAAGCCUGAUCCAGCCAUGCCGCGUGUGUGAAGAAGGCCUUCGGGUUGUAAAGCACUUUCAGUUGGGAAGAAAGCCUUGGGGCUAAUACCCUCGAGGAAGGACAUCACCCACAGAAGAAGCACCGGCUAACUCCGUGCCAGCAGCCGCGGUAAUACGGAGGGUGCGAGCGUUAAUCGGAAUUACUGGGCGUAAAGCGCGCGUAGGCGGUCUGAUAAGCCGGUUGUGAAAGCCCCGGGCUCAACCUGGGAACGGCAUCCGGAACUGUCAGGCUAGAGUGCAGGAGAGGAAGGUAGAAUUCCCGGUGUAGCGGUGAAAUGCGUAGAGAUCGGGAGGAAUACCAGUGGCGAAGGCGGCCUUCUGGACUGACACUGACGCUGAGGUGCGAAAGCGUGGGUAGCAAACAGGAUUAGAUACCCCUGUAGUC
rnacentral:rRNA from 1 species